UAGAAAACUUGGGCUUUUCUGAGAAUAUCAGAUCUUAACAACAGUGAUGAAGCUAGUUAAACAUACAACAAUGAGUAACCAUCGGCAAGAUUCAGCAUCAAAACGGAUCGAUGUUGGCAGAAACGAUGCAUUUCGAGCAUGACAUCUCCCCGACGUCAUCAAGCAACAGAGCUAAAUGCAAGUAAACCUGAUUAUCAAAAGGUUUCGCUGGAGAAGCUGAUCCAGGGCCACCACUCCCAUGCCGUGGCCUGUCUUGCCUGGAUAACUCCCGGGAGCAAGUCAACCAGGACUUCACAGCCAGAUACAACCAUGCCAGGCGAACUCUGACAGCAGCUUCUGCUGCUGACACAUUUCACAGUGCAGCCACCUGAGGGCACCAGAGGCUCAUGCUUUGGUUUCAAUUGCUGUCUAAUUCUUUUAACAACAUAUUCUUUUUAUAGUUAGGUUGUUUAAUUAAAGCAUUUUAUACUGUUUUUUAUUUAACAAUCUGGACAAUAAGAUGUUAUUGUGUUGUGUUAUGGAUGGCAGACUCAAACCCUAUGUAUACCCAUUGAAAACCUCUGGAAUGUGAUCAAGAGGAAGAUGGAUGGUCACAAGCCAUCAAACAAA